UACGUAGGUGGCGAGCGUUGUCCGGAUUUACUGGGUGUAAAGGGCGUGUAGGCGGGAGAUUAAGUCAGAUGUGAAAGUCCAUGGCUCAACUGUGGGAGUGCAUCUGAAACUGAUUUUCUUGAGUGCUGGAGAGGAAAGCGGAAUUCCAAGUGUAGCGGUGAAAUGCGUAGAUAUUUGGAGGAACACCAGUGGCGAAGGCGGCUUUCUGGACAGUAACUGACGCUGAGGCGCGAAAGCGUGGGGAG
rnacentral:rRNA from 1 species